AGGUUACAUUUUUUUAUAUUUCUGGUAAUUUCUGACAAGACCCGACUGGCAACACUGCAAAUAAUCACUAGUGGUCAUACGCCAACGUCACUCGCCCGAAGCCAUAAAAAAGAAAACAAAAACUUCCGGUUCCGGAAGAAAAAACAGCCAAGUGUUUUGCAUUUUUGCAGCAUACUCUCUUCUAAUCUGUGUUUUGCAGUGCACAAAAUCAGUGGUAGAACGUAGAACCUACAAGUUUUUUUGUUUUGCACGGUGUUUUAUUUAAUAAACGCUUCUGUUGUGCGAAUUGGACGCGUGACGUGCUGAAGAUUAAAGACUUUGCAUAAUGGAAUCAAAAAAAUUUUUUUUGGUUACAUUUUUAGAUGAAGAUGAUGCUCCUGGCAUAGUUUCAUCAAAGUGGUUAAGAUACCAACACUUGUUAUUACCCUAAUGUAUGCACUGAAGAAAUCAAAAACAAACUUGAAGAAGAUGCCUGCACCUGAAGCAACAUGGUCACAAUAUCAAAUAAAAAUACUUAAAAGUUAUGAAACUUAUGGCGAAGCACGAUUACAUUUAAAAAAAGCGGAAGAAACCUGAAAUUUGGACUCAGACGAAGCAGAAAAUGAUGUUACAAAUGAAGUGACAGUGGACAUAAUGUCUGCUGUAAAUUACCCAGUCACCUCCGGUUCUAAAGAGGCCAAGCAAACACAACUCAAAGCUGUUAACUGCCAAUCAGAGUGCAUUACAAACAAGCAAUCCCAACUAAUAUUAUAAAUGCGAAAGUAACUCUGUCUGUCUGUCUGUCUGUCUGUCUGUCUGUCUGUCUGUCUGUUACGUUUUCCCGCUUAAACCUCGCAACCGAUUUUGAUGAAAUUUGGCAUAGAGAUAGUUUGAGUCCCGGGAAAGAACAUAGGAUAGUUUUUAUCCCGGUUUUUGAAACAGGGACGCGCGCGAUAAAGUUUUUCUGUGACUGACAAAAUUCCACGCGGGCGAAGCCGCGGGCGGAAAGCUAGUAUGCUAUACAGCAGAGUCAUAUGAUUCAGAUUGUGUCAGACCUAGCUAACCAAAUGGCUGAAAUCAAUAGAAAAUUGGAUUUACCGUUAGCUAGGUCCGAAGAAACAUUUUCACCAACAGAUGACAAUGCAGGUCUUUCAGAACUUUUGGCAAGUCUACCAGUAAAGAUAUUGCAAGUUUUAAUAAUUUCGAUGACCAUUUAAAAAUAAACAAGAAUACAGGCAAUAAUGUCAUUUUUGUCUGGUAUUGGCGGCAGAAAUGUAAGAAGCCUUACGACUAAUAUGUUGAGACGAAUAAUUCUAGAUGAUGUAGCCGAGUUGUAUUCGUUAACUGGGAAACAGAUGAAAAAUUCGAAUAAAAAGUCAUUUAUGAGUACAGAAACCUAUAAAUUAAUCUUUCAAAUAUGUAGAAAAAUCAACGAAGAUGUAACUGAAGACAGUCUAAAAGAAAUUAUAAGUGAUUGGCUAAAUCAAGCUAUAGUUAGACUUUCAAGAAGAGCAGAAACACAAAAUAAAGAAAAAAACCAAUAGCGGCGACCAUGAAACCGAUUUUUUCUCAUUUAAAGUAAGAUAAGAUAAAAGUAUAAAUAAUAAAAAAAUAUAUGUUA